AUCAUGACCUUGCUUGCCGCCUCCUAGACCACGGUACCUAUGUGUGUGCGUGCGCGCGUGCGUCUACAAAUACAUACCCAUGCAUGCUCCUCACACACCUUGCCAAGAAAUAGAGAUGAGAGGAUGAGAGGGGCUCGAUCGGGAGAAAGAAGGGGGAAAGAUAUGAAGCUACUUGCUUCUGAGUGGAAUGUUGUCUGGUUCAAGGUCUUGCUUUCCGAUUUGAGGAUGAUCCAUGCUUGCAUGUGUAGUUUUUUUUGUUCCUCAGAUCUACAAGAUCUCGGACCAGGCUUCAUUCCCCUCAGGAAUAGCUUCAAAAUAAUACCGCCGGAGAGUUAUUAGGAGGAGCUGCUAGUACUACAUAAACUUGUGUUCUUGGUCUUUGAUUCUGAAAUAUUUUCUUGGAGUUUUCGUGAGUUUCCUGGUUGUUCUUGUAGUACAGUGGGGAGUACUACUGUGUUUUCCACUCCUAGCUAGCUAGAUCUUACUUUUCCACACAGUGCCUUUUUUUUUGUUUGCUUGCUUGCUGCAGAGAUCGAGGUCGAGGAGCAGCAAGAUUGGUGUAAUGAUGGCCUACUUCCUCUUCUCUUUCUUCUGUGUAUCUGGCAGGUGAUGAAAGUUUUCAUCAUUACAUUUUGAUUGGGAGAA
rnacentral:precursor_RNA from 1 species